rnacentral:rRNA from 1 species
AGAGUUUGAUCCUGGCUCAGAACGAACGCUGGCGGCGUGCUUAACACAUGCAAGUCGAACGCGAAAUUUUUUCUUCGGAAGAAAGAGUAGAGUGGCGCACGGGUGAGUAACGCGUAAAUAAUCUACCCCUGCAUCUGGGAUAACCCACCGAAAGGUGAGCUAAUACCGGAUACGUUCUUUAGAUUGCGAGAUUUAGAGAAGAAAGGUGGCCUCUGAUAUAAGCUACUGUGCGGGGAGGAGUUUGCGUACCAUUAGCUAGUUGGUAGGGUAAUGGCCUACCAAGGCAACGAUGGUUAGCGGGUCUGAGAGGAUGAUCCGCCACACUGGAACUGGAACACGGACCAGACUCCUACGGGAGGCAGCAGUGAGGAAUAUUGCGCAAUGGGGGAAACCCUGACGCAGCAACGCCGUGUGAGUGAAGAAGGUUUUCGGAUCGUAAAGCUCUGUCAAGUGGGAAAAAGGCUUUAUAUUUAAUAGGUAUAAAGAUUGAUGUACCACUAAAGAAGCACCGCUAACU